rnacentral:lncRNA from 1 species
AUGACAUGUGAUAAGAUAUUUUUCUUUCUGCAGCCCAUUGCCAUUUAUAAAAACGACAGGGGUAAAGUAAGGACAAAGGAUUACAUUCCUCCAUGCAAGGAUGUGUUCUUUGGAAAAGUCAUCCUUAGUAAAUGUGCCAAUGUCACAUUAACUAUUGGUUGCACCAAGAAACAGGAUGGGUUACAUAAAGAGACCAGGAUCCACUUCUUAGGUAUGGUUUCCCCUGAAGUUAUUGGUGUAUUACACAACAUAUCUACCAUUGAAAUAAAUAUUAAGCAUUGUUGUCAUCAUCAUUGCUCAUAUCACUCUUUUUGCUACUUGGGGACAAACGCUAUCGCUGCCACCGCAAACGCUCAACUAGCUCAUUAUGGACUUUGGGCAUUGAUGAUGCUUUUGGUCUUUUUGAUUGUACUUUAA